rnacentral:rRNA from 1 species
UGGCGGCGUGCUUAACACAUGCAAGUCGAACGAUGAUCCUUGGCUUGCCGGGGGGAUUAGUGGCGAACGGGUGAGUAACAAGUGAGUAACUUGCCCUUGACUAUGGGAUAAGCCUGGGAAACUGGGUCUAAUACCGGAUAUGACCGGCCACCGCAUGGUGUGGUGGUGGAAAGCUUUUGCGGUUUUGGAUGGACUCGCGGCCUAUCAGCUUGUUGGUGGGGUAAUGGCCUACCAAGGCGACGACGGGUAGCCGGCCUGAGAGGGUGACCGGCCACACUGGGACUGAGACACGGCCCAGACUCCUACGGGAGGCAGCAGUGGGGAAUAUUGCACAAUGGGCGCAAGCCUGAUGCAGCGACGCCGCGUGAGGGAUGACGGCCUUCGGGUUGUAAACCUCUUUCAGUAGGGAAGAAGCCGCAAGGUGACGGUACCUGCAGAAGAAGCGCC